UACGUAGGCAGCGAGCGUUGUUCGGAGUUACUGGGCGUAAAGGGUGUGUAGGCGGUUCUUUAAGUUUGGUGUGAAAUCUCCCGGCUCAACCGGGAGGGUGCGCCGAAUACUGAGGGACUAGAGUAUGGGAUGGGAAAGUGGAAUUCCUGGUGUAGCGGUGAAAUGCGUAGAUAUCAGGAGGAACACCUGUGGUGUAGACGGCUUUCUGGACCAUAACUGACGCUGAGACACGAAAGCGUUGGGUAGCAAACAGG
rnacentral:rRNA from 1 species